GACGAACGCUGGCGGCGUGCCUAAUACAUGCAAGUCGAACGCAGUGGGGACGGGUGAGUAACACGUUGGUAACCUUCCCUCAGAGGGGAUAACACUUGGAAACAGGUGCUAAACCGAUACUGCUGGUUGGUCGGGCGGUGGAUUAGCUAGUUGGUGAGGUAACGGCUGACCAAGGCCACGAUGCAUAACCGGUCUGAGAGGGUGAUCGGCCACACUGGAACUGAGACACGGCCCAGACUCCUACGGGAGGCAGCAGUGGGGAAUAUUCGGCAAUGGGCGAAAGUCUGACCGAGCAAUGCCGCGUGUGUGAAGAAGGUUUUCGGAUCGUAAAGCACUGUUGUUAGAGAAGCGGUAUCUAACCAAAAAGCCACGGCUAACUACGUGCCAGCAGCCGCGGUAAUAC
rnacentral:rRNA from 1 species